GUCCACGCCGUAACGAUGAGUGCUAAGUGUUGGAGGGUUCCACCCUUCAGUGCUGCAGCUAACGCAUUAAGCACUCCGCCUGGGAGUACGGCCGCAAGGCUGAACUCAAGGAAUUGACGGGGACCCGCACAAGCGGUGGAGCAUGUGGUUUAAUUCGAAGCAACGCGAAGAACCUUACCAGGUCUUGACAUCCUUUUGACAAUCCUAGAGAUAGGACUUUCCUUCGGGGACAAAGUGACAGGUGGUGCAUGGUUGUCGU
rnacentral:rRNA from 1 species